AAGCCUUACUAUUUUCAUGAAUCACAGGUUGGCAGGUCUCGGAAGAGGACGCGACGUAAACUUCACGAGGUUGUCUUUCAAUUUUUUUGAAAAAAUUAUAUUUUUAUAAUUUUUUUGUGUGUGUUAAAUCUUUGGGUUUCUCGGUGGUUUAUUUCGUUCCACGAUCAGUCGGUUGUUUUUCUUUCCCGAUCGUUUUAUGAGCAGGUAUCGUAGCAAACAUGAUACCAACUGUAAUCAUGCAUGAAAAUUAUAAUGACUAUAAAAUACAAUAUAAAAAGACCAUGUAAAAUGAAACGAAUCUUGUAUCCACUUGUCCACGUGCUAGGCAAUGAGCUUUGCACCCUUCCAUUUCAUAUUCUGUAUUUUCAGCAUUGAAAUGAAUUCUAAUUAUUGAAAUAAAAUUCAUUCAUAGUAUUUCUUUCCUUUUAACAUCCUAGACCUUGGAUUUAUCAUAUCUAGACCUUGUGUAAAUAAACGUGUGAUAUGUGUGUGCAUGCAAGAGCGUGUAGCAGUCCUAGUAUUUGUAGCUGUAGUAAUGCCCAAUGAUGUCUGUAAGCUUGUCUGACGCUAGAUUUAUGGAGCUCUUGAAGUUCAAGUACAAUAUUGCUAAAUCGAGCUGAAUAGCUAAAUAGAGCUAAAAAUCGAUGUAUAGCUUUUUAUACAUAAUAUUUGCUUUUGAUUGCAUUAGAAGCUAUAUUACAAAUUUAGUAACGGUCGUAAGUUUUGAUAGUGCUUCAUGUGGCUAUAAAGUUGGCCAGCUGCCAAUAACAUUCCUUUAUAAUUACAAAAAAAUAUUUGGAAAAAUCAUGCUAAACGUACAUUAAUAAAGAAACGUUCGCUCGAACGAUA